UGGGGUAUAUUGCACAAUGGGCGAAAGCCUGAUGCAGCGACGCCGCGUGGGGGAUGAAGGCCUUCGGGUUGUAAACUUCUUUUGCUCUGAACAAGGCGCACCAUGGGGUGUGUUGAGUGUAGGGGUUGAUUAGCGCCGGCUAACUACGUGCCAGCAGCCGCGGUAAUACGUAGGGCGCGAGCGUUGUCCGGAAUUAUUGGGCGUAAAGGGCUUGUAGGUGGCUGGUUGCGUCUGUCGUGAAAGCUCAUGGCUUAACUGUGGGUUUGCGGUGGGUACGGGCUGGCUUGAGUGCAGUAGGGGAGGCUGGAAUUCCUGGUGUAGCGGUGGAAAGCGCAGAUAUCAGGAGGAAUACCGGUGGCGAAGGCGGGUCUCUGGGCUGUUACUGACACUGAGGAGCGAAAGCAUGGGGAGCGAACAGG
rnacentral:rRNA from 1 species